rnacentral:rRNA from 1 species
GACAGAGGGUGCAAACGUUGUUCGGAAUUACUGGGCGUAAAGGGCUCGUAGGCGGCCAACUCAGUCGGACGUGAAAUCCCUCGGCUUAACCGGGGAACUGCGUCCGAUACUGGAUGGCUUGAGUGUGGGAGAGGGAUGCGGAAUUCCAGGUGUAGCGGUGAAAUGCGUAGAUAUCUGGAGGAACACCGGUGGCGAAGGCGGCAUCCUGGACUACUACUGACGCUGAGGAGCGAAAGCCAGGGGAGCAAAGCGGG